GUUUCGUUCUUUAUUUUAACCACACGAUUCCUACAGAGCGAUCCCAAAUCUGAUAUAACGUUUAUGGGACGAUCUGCGUUAUAUACAUUUCCCUAAUGAAUAUCAUAUCUAAUUCUCCUUUCGUACGAUUCUUUUAGACAAUUUCAAAAUAACAUAGUUUAAAGAAAACAAAAGGAUUCUCUUUUUACAUGGUUUUUAGUCCAUUUUUUCUGGAAUUGGUAAAAGGAAAAUUAGUUGCGUAAUAUAUUUUACUUUAUGGUGUUUCUUAUUUGGAAACUCUUGUUAUACAGUGAUUUAUAUCGAAAGUAUAACAGUAUAUCGAAGGAUCUGUAUCCUUUUCUCGAAUGCAAAAUUUAAUAAUUCUCCAAGAUGAAUGCUGCCAUUCAUCGAGCUUCUGUUAUCUUUUUCUCCAAAGCAAAGAUGUGAAUAUUACUUACAUUUUUUUUUAUUUUAAGCAACUCACGAAUGAAUAUCUCACCGCGAACUUUCUCCUCUAACGCAGUUUUCUCUCUCUUUCUCUCUACUCGUAAGUUCAUUUCUUUUCACUAAUAGCUACGCCAUUAGCGAUUCCACUCGGUCGAAUGAAAAAAAAAAAAAAAAAAAAGGAAAAGAAAAGAAAAAACGCCGUGGCCAGUGUACAACGCAAAGCUUCGGGCUCGUAACGUUCAUACUUCCGAGCACGGCAGAUUCAUUUCCGCAUCGUUGCAGCCGCACGGUUUCAAUGUUUCAAUGCUAAUGUGCCUUUGGCAAAAGGACCGGCCGCUCUUAUCCCAAUUGCAAUCACAGUAUUCAAGUUCGAUAUUGGUACGCGUUUUAAAAUGACAUGCUGGCCGACCGUCUUUUAUAUCGAAAAAAAAGGUAACUUUUUAAGACACGUAAUUGAUUUUUGAAAAGUUUUUCGAUCGUUCGAUAAAAAUUUCGACAUAUUUUUAUCAUUAAUUAUAAUGAUAAAAUGGGAUAUACGAUAACCCUAAGGUACAAAAGUAACGAUUAUGGAAUUUUUAUAAUUAACUAAUAGAUCGAAACAAUGUUAUACAAGAUAUCAUAAGCAUUAUUAUAAACUGUUGUAAAAUAUACUUCCCCAUUCCUAUUUCAACGAUAUUUCAACACGAUGGCCGUUCUAUCUUCAUGCGAGUGUAAUACAACCGGAACAUUUAUUGCAGCGCAAAGUUUUGUUAAACACGAGUUUCUCGGCGCCCUAAUGAGUCGAGUUUGAAGUUUACCGGCGUCCCCGUACCUGCCGCGUACUCCUUCCUCAUGUAUUUCUGAAAACUAAUAACGCGCGUAUAACCGUACUUGACGAGCCUUUUAUCUCUGUGAACGAAAAAGUAUCAAAAUACCGCCAUCAAACUCACCGCGACAAUGCGGUUAUUGAAAAAUAAAAGAUCGACGUUUCUACCUAAAGUAGAAACGUCGGCUUUUCCUACUCUUUACGAUCGAUCAUUUUGUUUGAAAAGAAUGAAAAAAUCGAUGAAACGUGUUGUUUCACAAGAAGGGCGUAUGCGCUUAUAAAGGAUCACGCGUCCCACAUCUCUCCUCGUACGUCUCUCUCUCUCUCUCUCUCUCUCUCUCUAUUGUUACGUCUGAAACAAACCGCGUUCGAUACGCAUUAAUUAAUUUUAGUAAGAAGAGAGAGAAAAAUCCAUUAAAUAUGUAUGUAUAUUUAUUACACGUUCAUACUCGGAGAAUCGUGAUAUUGAUAUUGCAUAGAGAAAUUGGAUUCCACAUAUUUCCUUUCCGUGAUAUCACUCGAAUAACCAAUAUGAUUUCUGAUUUCUGACUGGCAAAACGCUGACGUGCCCGUUGCCCUCAGACUAGAAAAGUAGGUCAUUGCGUGAAAUAGGCAUAUCUCAUCGCAUCGACAAUAAAAUCGUUGGAGAAACUCGAACCAGUAUCGAGUCUAUCAAUCCUCCUACUUUUUGGCCUCUUCCUCGUCGAUAUGUCCUUGGAAAUAAUAGCUUUGGUACAUGGCUCGUAUUCGCCAGCGCGUCUUUUUUCCCUUUCCAAUUAAAUUCACUUUGUCCUGCAUAGCCCAAAACUUGGACGCAACCUACAAGCGUCUUUCCUUCGAUUUUGUCAAUGUCCAAAGAAGCGAUCUUGAUUCCUUCGAGUACUUUGCUCGAAUUCCGACUCGUGCAGUAUCGAAACUUUAAGGAAAACCGAAAAUCGAAUAAAGUAAUCUAAUUCACAAUUAACUCUUUUGUCCGACGAUACUCUAUCUUUUUCUUCGCAUCGUAUACAAAUUCAUGGAUCCAUUUAUACGUUAUUAUAAUUAUAAUCCAAUAAACGUUGAAGUUCCAAACAUGUCCCUUUUAAAUUUUCUCCGAAUCUUCAACAAUCUACACUCUUUUCGUAUCGAUAUACGAGCCGUAUUAAAAGAUUUACCCCGCGAUUAUAGAGAUUCACCGUUAAUUGUAGCAAUUUCCUUAUCGCCCUUAUUCGCCGGCCCGUUUCAGGUGAUUCUCAUUAAAGUGAAUUUUAAUGGGAUUAUCCGUGGCCACACGCCGGAGGGCUGCUGAUGCUUUAUCGUAUAGACAGAUACGACAAUUAGUAUGCGGUAGAGAAUUUAGCGCUAUCGAGCCAUGGCAUCGUUGUCGAGAGAGAAAGAGAGAGAGAGAGAGGGAGAGAAAGAGAGGUUUGGGAUGGGAACAUGAGAAGAGACAGAAUAGUGGUAUAGAGGCAGGAGAAGGUCUGCCAUUGUCAUCAUCGUCCUCCAUUGUACGGAAGUCGUCUGCUUGCCGUUACAUAAUAGUUGCACCAUUGUGUCAUUCGAUUGCAUAAUUCCUGUUACUUAGCCUGGCCGAAGUAUGGAUCCAUGUGAAGAAUGGCUCGAUGCAUUGGCACGCGCGUAUGCAUGAAGAGACAAAGAAAGAGAGAGAGAGAGAGAGAGAGAGAGAGAGAGAGAGAGAGAUGCAGGAAUGUUCGAACGAAACUGAAUCGAUAAAACGUUGUUGGACAUUAGUUGCAUUCUUAGUGUCUCUUUGACCUUAUACCCUACGUUCAUCCAUUUCUUUUUACCUAAUUUCGUACUCAUUUAUUUUUAAAACAAAACGAUAGAAAGAGUAUAUUAAAUGGCGUGCUAAAAAAUAAUAGAAUACUGUAUAGAAUAAUAAUUAUUAUCUAUUUAUUUUUACUGCCCUACUUUUCGUAGAUCUAUACGUUUUUAAUAAAUAAAGAAAGGAAAUUAGUGCUGCAUACCCAACGAUAAUUCUCCAUUAAAUGACACGUUACUCGUAUAAUAUUGAUUCCGUGCAAUUAAUAAUCCAUUUGGCCAUGAAAUUAAAUUAAUAAAAUUUGCAUUAGGUUCCGUAAUGCAUCAUGGAAGUCUGACUGAAAGUUACUUGUAUGUAAAAUGUGAGAAGAGAGAGAGAGAGAGAGAGAGAGAAAGAAAGAAUUAAUAUAAUUCACAAUAAUAUCAGCGAAAAGAAUCAAAAAGUAUAACAAAAUUUACUUUCCCGUUAAAUAUUUCAAGCAGACACUUCAACGAUUCGCAUUAACUUUUUAGAAGAAUGUAAAUUUAACUGUUGCUUUUGGAAUGAGUAAUCUAGUUAUGAGCAUUAUCGAAACAAUCGCGUCCGCGAGGACUAUUUUCCUUCUUUAUUCUUUUUUGGUCUUUCGAGUGCCUAGAUCAGAUGACAUAAAAGUACCAAUUUUCCUUUAACCUUCGAUGAAUCUGACAACGCACAUACCUUCGUGGCAUGUUUAAAAUUUCAGAAUACGUCCGAGAUGUUCCUUGAAUCUAAAGGCUUCUUUAAAAGGGACAAAAGAGAAGAAAAGAGAGAAAAGCAAGGCUAUAUCUUGAAAUAACGUCAAGAUUUUACGACACACUCUCCUUCGCCUGAAAUAUCGAUGUUUCCUACUUUCUCGUAUCCCUCGUAAAUCGAUCGUCGAUACGUUCAAAAAAAGCUAAAAAAAGCUAAAAAAAGCUAAAAAAAGCUAAAAGAAAAAAUAGAUAAGGGAGAGAGAGAGAGAGAGAGAGAGAAGAUAUAUCGCAGAAGUGACUAUCUCUAAUCAAGCAAAUCGAAUCUCCAAUUCUGAAAGCGAUUUUCUUCCGGAAUAUCAACAUCAAAUGAUAUCCUUUUAACUGUUAAAUAUUAUCUGGUAAUAUCAUCGAAUUACCUACAAUAAGAGAAUUUCUAUCACUAGCGCCACUGUCAUCGUCAUAAUCAUCAUCGUCGUCAUCGCCAUUGGCUAUAGCGGCCGGUAACGCACAAACCUUUUCGUGCUCUCUAUCACGUGCUGCGAGAUUUACACGUUUAAACGAGCGAUUAAGCUUAAUUAGAGAAUAUCGAACGAUUAUACACCGGUAAUGCGUUUUGAUAGGCUUCUACGGUGAUAGCAAAUUUCUCUUGAAUAUUUGAAACCUUGUAUGUACCGGGCCACUCUUCCUCUCUCCCACUCGUUCCCAAUCAUUCGGUGCAUUUGAUAUGCCAUGUGUGAUACGAAUUUCUAUAUGUACAUGUAUACGAGUAUAUAAUAACAAACACUCUCACACACGAGUGACCUCGUGGACGCGUGUAAAUCGAGAGAAACCCAAACGCACCGUUGAAUAUUUCGAGUUUGGUCGCGAUUGCAAAAUUCGACGGUUCGACGGUUCGACGGUUCGGAAUUGUUCUCGUACGACUGUAAUAUUUCGAAAGAAGUAAACGAUCGGUACUCGAUUAGUAACCUUUCGACCAGAUAGAGUCGAUUCGUAAAAACGUUCCGUUCGAUUCGUAAGAUCGAAAUUCUAUGAGAUGAUUAUUUUCAGAAUCACGAACGGACGAUCCGAUCGAUUCGGAAAGGAUCAAAGGUAGUAUCGCGCAUGUUUGCACGACCGUCUGUUCUAGAUAGCCUCAUAAUCGCGUAUUUGCCGAGAGGACCGAGAAACGUGUAACUCCGAACACCUCCUGAUUGGCAAACAUGCAUAUUUUAACGUUGUCCCAUGCUCGCACGAGCCAGAUAACACGCGUUGUUCGUAUCAAUUAUUCCUCGAAAUUCAACGCGUCCCUUCAGCCCCCUAACGCCUAAUAGGAAUGAGGUUUUAAUUGAAAUGUAAUCCCAAUUAAAACGAAUCCGCAAUCCACGACGCACAAACGCGUAUAAUCGCAUUAGAGAAAUGGAAUAUCCAGUCGAGUUCACUCAUUGUAAAUCCGUUGUAGGUGAUGAGAUGGUUAUGCCGGUGAAGACUGCUGUUGGUGGUGGUGCCAAUAAUGGACAAGGGGGCUGUUGUCGCUCGACAGCCUGAGCUCCGUUUACCGCCUUCGUGUUCGCGACAUCUUAUCGAGAUUAGAGAUCGGAAGUUGAUAAGCUCGAAUCUCUCGUCUCAAAAGGACGAUUCUCUUUUUGACUUGCGACUACGGUAAACAAACUUUCCUUCCGAAAACUCACAAAGUUUGAAUUUGAAAACAUUUAGUCGGUCCAUGAGAGCGAGCAAAAAUUUUUCUUUUUCUUUUUAGGAAUGGGUGGCGGGGGCGAAUAAGAAGUACAAAUUUUCGAGCUUCGUAAAAAAAUAGUUUAAUCGUUUUGUUCGUUCGAAUGAAGAAAAAAACCGAACGAAAGAAAAAAUGAUAUAUUUCCUCGAGAGAAUAAAAUCGAAACGUGAUUCUCUGUCUCAAUAUAUUUAUUUACUUUUCUUCCCUCGUCUCUCAUAAUUCUAUGCACUUGGAAUUUAUACAGUCUUGUAACAUGGCACCACUCUCACCGACGACUAUGUAAGUACCACAUAUAUACCUCGAUCGUUUUUCUUCGAUCGAAGAGCGACGACGCAUAGUAAAAUCUUUGAUCCGUCUGGCUAGUAACGAUUCUCCAAACUAAAAUCUCGUAGGUCUCUUCGGAGAGUGUUAUUAUCGAAUUUCUAUGAAGCGUUCCGUUUAACUUUUACAACCUCGAACCGUUCAAUCGUUCUAUCUUUUCUUUCUCUCUCCUUUGUAUUUCUCUCUUUAAUACUCUAUCGCUUCUCGCGUUCUAAUUGUGUCUCGUACAAAAACGCUACUUACUUUACAAUUUUUAUUUGGUAACUUUACGAAACGAUCCAAAUUUAUAUUGUCAACCAUUAAUAUUUCAAGAGGAACAGGAAAGAGAAGGAGAGAGAGAGAGAGAGAGAGAGAGAGAGAGAGAGAGAGAGAAAGAGAAUCGGAAAAGAGGACGAUGUAUGAUAUUUUCUUCGCGACAAAGUCAACCCUCCAACGAUCGAAUAUAUAUUAAAUCCUCUCGUCGACUCAGAGAAAGCAGAAAAAUUAGUAACACCGCCGAUACUAAUAUCUCGUUACAUAUGACAAGUUUUACGUACUAAUUAGUCACUUAUUAUCUAGUUAAACUUCCUAUUCCGUAGUGCUAAUACCUCCUUAUGUGUAUAAUUUUACUUUCUCUUCCUCACAGGCUUCGGAACAUUGUUUCCAGUUCAUUAAAUCCAACCACAAUUAGCACGGACAAAGGUUUAAAGCUAAUACGUAAUACUAGAUUUUCAAAACAUAUGUAGUAGGUCUUAUUCUCUUUCUUUAAUCUCACGCUCUUAAUACGUCUACAUACAACCAAGACGCACCGAUAUACUACAUACAUACAAAUCUGGCCUAAUACUUUUUAGUGGCAAACUUGCAAAGGUACUUUGUUUUCAGCGAAUCGCGUGUCAUAUGGAACGUCUAAUAUUAUCAAAGGGACAUUAAUUAAUUCAUUUAUUAUAUUAUUAUCUUCUCUCUUCUAUGUAUUUAUUUGUAAGCACUCAACAUACGGACAACAGCCGUCGCGAACCAGACCGUUUAUCUCUACCUCGAACGCAUAAAUAUACUAUAAUAUCUAUAUACUUCGGCACGAGGAAAUUUCGAGCACAAGUUUGUCGAGAGACGGCUCGACAACUAAUUUUUAUCACUUUAAUCCGGCUACCGAAUGCAUAUAUUUAUUCUAAUUAGCUCGGUAAAAUCUCGCUAAAACGUAAUAAAUUUUUUUCUUUAUCGUGCAAGCGUACACCGACGUGCUAUUAAUUCUUUAAUUACGUCUUCAACAAGUGAGAUAACUAACAAGAACAGAUGGGCAUUGUACAAUGACAAUUAAUAAUAGAUAAUAGUAGAAGUAAAGUUCCCGUUCGAACUUUAAAGCAUUUCCUAAUAGUCGCCCCGUUUCCUUACGAUCGUUCAUUCGAAACGUUGUGCUUCCUUUAUGGCGUCGCUCUUUUUCAAGGAUUAUAUUGUAAAUAACAUAAUCGAGAUUCCGAGGUCGGUAGAAAAAUCGUUUUCGAAAAAUUCGUGCAAAAGUAUAAAAGAAAGGUGUAAAGAAUUCGAAAGAAAAUAUUGUUCCGCGUUGUAGACGUAAAAUUGUAGGAUACUUUUUCUCUCUUUUUAUUUAUUUAUUUUCUUUUUUCUUUUUUCUCAAGCGAUAAAGAUUCUAGAUAAUAAUGUACGAUAUUUGUUUUCUCUCUCUUUUUUUUUUUUUUUUUCUUUCUUUCGAUUAAAAAGCGAUUAACAUGUUCGGCGAUACUUAUGCGGAAUUUCCUACGUUCGGUAAAUACGUCAUCUCUUUAUUCUCUAUCACAGAUGAAUGGAACAAUUAUCUUUUAUUACGGCGAUCAAUGAGAAUUUACUUAAUAUUGGGACAUACUUAAUAUUGGAAAAUUAAACGACGACAGACCAGCAGAAAAAAAAAAGGAAAAAAAAAACCAGAAAGAAACAAAAAGUAUCGCAUCGCAAAAAUGUUCGAUAACGCUAAUUUAAUCGAGGCUUUUCGCGUAAUUAAAUCGCAACAUCUUCCUGGAAGAUGGAGGUAAUGUAAUGAUUUCUAUAAAGUCGAUAAAUUGCAUUAGGAAAAAGAGCUAGGCGUGUAUCCUGCGCUAAGCUUGCGUAUCUUUUUCUCUUAUUCUUUUAAUAUGAAGAUCCUCUUUAUUAGAAACAUCUAAAAAUACUACCUUUAUUUUAUAUAAAACGAUUUCGUGGAGGCUUUAAUAUUGUGUUUGUGUGUGUCUGUGAUUUUUCGUCUAAAUAUACACCAUCCUUUCGUACGUAUGUACAAUCUUCCUUCUACUGUCUAUUAUGUUAAUCGGUUAUGAGACGCGUAGCUUUUGCAAAUGUAAAUAUGCUGCUCGCGGUUUACUCACGUUCAACGUUAAUUAUUGUAUCUGCGCGGCUGUACAUUUAACGAAUCAAGCACGCGAAAUAAUAUCGUAAAACGUCAUCUCUUGAAACGUUCUUAUCUUCAAACUGUUUCUAACUGCGCGAAGAAUUCUCGAUCGCCUCGAGAUCUUCACUUGCUUAUGAUUCUUAUCACAAAAUGUUCAGGCUUGGCUCGUGAUAACGAGUAUCAGUGUAAGAAAGCGAAAGAGGAAUGAAGCUCGGUGCUUCUCUAAAAUCUUUGCUACGUCUCAACGAUACGGGGUAUUCAAAGGAUAUCGUCAAGACGACCUUCCUCUUCCACAUCCCUGCUAUAGGAGUACUUCCAUGGAUUAUGGUUGGUACGCGCCUACGAUUCAUACCGUU